CCUUGUGCCUGGUGGGGAGCAGGCUCCGAGGUGACAUCUCCCAGGCAAGGCACACAGAUGCAAAUCACCGGGACAGGGAAUGUGUGCAGCAGAGUCACCUCAGCCUGGUGCCAAGGUGAAAAAAAUCCCUGCAAAGAAGGAGAAGAGGCUGCUCCUGUCCCUGCCCUCACCUCCUGUGACCACCUGAGGCAUUUCAGUGUGAGAGAGUCUUUUCAGGGACAACUCUACUGCCGCUCCAGCAGACGUCUGAAAUGAGGGGAAAAAUUCAAGUACGUCCUGCUAGGUUUGAACAAAAGCAGCUCCAUUUCCAUUUGUAGGAGGAAGAACUGGGGACCUCGGCCACUCCUGGGCAUUUAGGACCUGAACUAAAGGAAUGAAUUCCGCUUGCACUGAGGAGCCAUCCCCUUGUGAUGGAACCAGGCCCUACAGAGCAGGACUCAAGCACCAGGCAGAUCUCAGCACCCUGAUGCUGAUACUGGUGAUGUGACAAAACCAGAGUUCACCUCUCUUCACCCUUACCUGGCUUACAGUGGGAUUAAUUUAAGUCUCCCUUUUACCUUGGGAGACUUAAAUCUCCUUUUUCCCCACCUUUUCCCUCCUCAGGGCAGGAGCCAGUGGGGUCCUUCCAAGAGCAAUGACCAGGCAGCAGUUCUGCUGCUCCAUCCUCCUGCUCCCAGCAUAUGGGGCUCAGCAGAGACUAACCAACACUCACUCUCCUGCAGGAUUAAUUUCUGGAGGAGAGAAAUGGCUGACACAAUCCAGGUAUUUCUUGGCGGCAAUCCUAUUUACCGAGAGCAUUCACAAAGGAUUUACAAACCUAAAGGGGGAUUUAAAGGGAAUUUGGGCACCUAACUCUGAAACAGCAAACCUGAAAAUCCCCACUCAUCCAUUGCCUGAUCCCAGAGGUUCCUGAGCUACACAGGUACCAUUUUUUUCCCUGUACUGGCAUGUACAGAAGAUCUUUGGUCAUGGCAAAGCUGAGCAGCUCCUAACCAGAAAUCCCCCUGCUCUUUAGUUUACCUACCCUGAACAUCCCUUUAUCUCUCAGCAGCUCCGAGACAGCCCGAGGCUCUCUGCAGCCACAGAGGCAAAGCUGCUGCUGGUUUAUUUUAAAAUGCAGCAGCUCCUUCUUGCCUCCAUCUAUAAAAUAGCUUGGGAGAGUCUCUUGGGCUGUGGACGCCCAAAUCUUAGUUUCUCCUCCACCUGAGUCUAACUCUUCUCUCCUGUUACAGCCACAGAGUAUAAAUGAUGAUGACUUUUUGAAGUGGAAGUUUAUUCUCUAUUUCCACAGCAAUGAGGGGCAGCCUCCUGCCUCAUCCUGAGUCCCCUAAAGCUGAUGUUUGUGAGAGUUUAAGGUGUCAUUUUGGGGCAUGACAGAGGUGGACAUAAAUGUUGUCAGGCAAAAGUAGAACACAAGCCAUGCCUUCGAGCAUCACAGGAAAAUUACCUGGGGACCAGGGAGGUGGGAGAAAGUGGUGGGAGGAGGGGGAUGAAUUUAUCUUGGGGAGACCCAUGAGGGAGGAGGAAGAAACCUCAGCUUAAGGUGUGAGGAGUAAACUACCCCAUUUCUCUGUUUUGACUGCAGAAGGAGUUGAGAAAAAUAAAUGUUUAAUCCCUAGGUAAUUGAACUGAGGAGCAAAUGUCUUGUUCUCAGGUCACACAGCCCAGCUGCUGGGUGGGCCAUGGCUUUGGGCAGGGGAUUCUGUUCCUUCCAGUUCCUGCAUUAUAGAAUGUUUUAAUUGCUGUUUUCACCUGACUUGAAAUCAGGGUGAUGAUCAUUCCUUAUCUGUGCCUGCAAAUGUCCCUCUCCCAGACCUGCUUGGUGCUGGCCACCGACCCUUUUCAGAUUCAUGGUGCAGCCAACUCCAGCUGUUCCUGCUGGAAGCACAACUUGAUUGAGCUUUUUAAUUUAAUUGAGGUUUCUCUGCACAGUCUUUCUCCGUGGCCAAGGGGUUCCCCUCCACGCUUCCCACCUGAGGUUGUCUCCCAGCACGUUGAAAUCCACACUUCCCAGAGCAAUCUGAACUUCAUCUGGAGCCACCUCAACAGCAAGAUUGUGUUUUCCCCUUCCAUAAGUUGUGCAAUGCUUUACAUUACCCACACGUGUGUGGUGAUUGUCGUGGGCAUGGAGUUACAAUCAGCAAGGACAGUGCAAGGAAAAUUAAUUGUCAGAUAAGUUAAUGACACUGAUAUUCUUGCAGCUGAAUUAUUCUGGUGGGUUGUAAGAUUAUCACAGAAGAUCCUAGAUGUUCAUACCAGGCACAAGUUUGUCCUUUCCUUGUGACUGAUCAUUUUUCCAUUCAAUAGAAAAAACCCAACCCUCAAGACUUGAGGCAUCCAGUGAGGAAGCCAAAACCAAUUCCAGGCAGUUUGUAUGGCACAUUUCAUGAAUAGCAGAAAGCUCUGAGUGACCAGACAGAGAGAGAGAAGCUUACAACUGGAAAAUUGGUCACGUUUCCUACUUUGUGCUGUGAUUAUUUUCUGUCUUUCAGCCGUGCCCAAGGUUGCACGCAGGAUCAGAAUCCCAUCGGAUCACACUCAGACACUGAGAUGUGUUCACUAUCGUGGCAAAUAUUUUCAUCUAACAUAUAAAAUACCUAGCAGGGAGCUAAAAGGGAAGGACAACACUCAGGCAAGGUGACACAGUUUCUUCAAUUCCUCAGCAAGCUGAGAACCAGGAAACUUUAGAGCAGUCGGCCACUGCAUGGGGUAAAGAAGGAUGUGUGAAGUUUUAGCUCACUUGAAGUCCUCUAAAAGUUCAGUGAGGAGCUGGUCAAAACCCUUCAGAAAUCAGCAAGAGCCUUUCGACAGGUUUCCAUCCCCUGAAGGAUUGUGCAGCAAAGACAAGACUGCAAGUUCCAACUACAGAGACUUGCAAAUCACAGGGCAUCAAAGUUUGGGAAGCCUCUGAACGUCCCUCCCUGCAGCAAUUACUUCUCUGCCAGCUUUUGUGCUGGGGGGAGGUAUCAGCCACCUGAAGUUCUGUUUGCAAACAGGUUUUUUCCAGGAGACAGGCAGGAAUGUGAAAGCAGCAGCCCAGGAGUGGGCAUUGCUUGCUGGUGAAUGCAAAUUCCUGCGGAGCAGGAGGAUUCCUGCAGUGAUUCCCAGAGGUUGGAAGGAGCUGUGAGUCCUUACAGGUAUGGUAGGAUGGGAAAGGGAGAGGUGAAAAUACCCUUGAGGGGAUGCAGGAGUGAGGAGUGAAAAACACCACCAUGAACAUCACAAAGCUCCCAGGAAAGUUCUCAGGGUGGUGACCACUCUUCAGAACCCUCUCUCUGUGCUGAAGGGAAUGGAAUCUGUCAAUCUUUGGAUGCAGAGGGAUGUUGGCAGGACCAGAGAAAAAGGGUAGAUGCUGGAAAGCUUCCUUAUAGAACAGUUUUAUGUUAUUAUAACUACAGAGUCUCAUCAGUGUGGAUUAUGAGUGUAACUUAAUUAACUUUCACAUUAUAGUUAGAUGGGCUAAUAAUAGUAUUUUUUUUGGCGUUGAGUCCUCUCCAUUUCACACACAACAAAACUCUGUGUGUAACACGAGGACCAUUUCAGACCAUUUUUGAAGGAAUAUGGUGGCAAGUGACCCAAAAAAACCCCCAAAAAUUGAAUUUUACGGUGCAGUUUUGGCGCAGGGGAAAGAGAGAGCCGCAGCUGAAGGAGAGAAGAAGACCAUGGAAGUCCCAGGGGAUGUGCAUAUUUAUUGGAGAAGAAAUGCAGCAGCAUGUGACCUAGGGAGAGCUGAAAUUUUCAGUCUUUUUUUUUUCAGAAAGGGGGGAAAAAAAAGUGCAGGGGAAAAAAAAUGCUAAAAAAUCUAAAGGUGAAAGGUAACUUCUUCCAGGAGAUAUCAGUGGCAGUAACUGUCACUUUAUUAAGGGAGUGAAGGAGUAGGAACAGCCAAAUAGAAACAGGCUUGACAAAGUGGGCAACAAAUGUGAGAAAUAAUGCUGCUUCCUUGGUAAACAGGCUCAGUAGCAACGAAACAAAUAUUGGCUCUUGCUGAAAGAGUCCAUCAAAUCCAUAUCAGCAAACCUCAGUGUCACAGGGAAAAAAACAAGGCAGGAGGCCAAGAUGGUUCUACCAGGAAUGCUUUAAAAGCCUGAAUAUUUGGGCAAGGAAAAAAAAUAUUACAGAUAAAGUGGGAAGAAGGCUGCAAAUGAAAUGGAAAAAUAAAGGUAAAGUGCAACUAUGGAGGAAUAAAACCAGGGAGUUAAUAUAGAGAGUUAAUAAAAACGAGUUACAUAGAAACUUUGCCCCACACAUCUGUCUGAUUUAUACUGUGAUAUAAACUGAUUUAUACUGUGAUAUAAACUGAUUUAUACUCUGAUAUGCAUCAUAUUUAACAUGUAACCCACAGGUACCACAAGGAAUGCUUGAUAGCACAAGUUUCCCCUGGAUCAGGGAAAGCAGGAGGUGUGGUGGACAACACCUGGAAUCCCAUCCUGAGGGACGUUCUGGCACCUUCAUUGGAGUGAGGGUUUGGGGGUUUUUUGAGAGCUGGGCUGGGAUCCUCUAAGCUGAACGGACAUCUACCUUCUCUUCUGGGCUGUCAGUAAUUCAGCAGAUGAGUCAAUCUGAGGUGGAUGCCCUGGCUGGUUGACCAGCCUCAGUCCCCUGAUGAGGAAGCACAAAUUGCUAUCAAAGGUAACAGGAACAUGCUCGCAGGCUGGGUGCAUCUGUAACAGCUGGGUUUUGGCAGCUGGCUUGUUAAGUCUCUCCAAAUGCAGAGGGAGAAGUGCCAGUGAGCAGCUGCAUCCACUGGAAGACGCUGUGCAAAUCCACAGGAAGCGCUGGUAAACAGCUGGAACACGCCAGAUUUCCCAUUUUUGUGUCUGGUUGAUGAGGUGGUUUGUACCAGUCCUGUCCUCCUGCUCAGCAGUCAGUUUGACAGACAGAAAAACACAUCUUCAUCUUAUCAGCUCCAUCACCUCCCUGUGCUGGAGCUUUCGCCAUUCCUUGUGUCUGUGCCUCAGAGCAGUCUUGAGAACAGGGUGUUAAUGCUCAUCUUAGGCCAACACACCUGGAUAUGGUGAGUCAGAGAUUAAAGUCUUCUCUUCUUAAGGACCUGCGGAAGAAAGUUUGAUCAAAGUAGUUAAAAUUUUCCAUUUGCAAACUGCUGGAGGAUGGAGGAACCUCUGGACAUCAUCUGAACUAAUCCCACUGUUCAAGUAGGAUCAGCUCUACUUCAGGUCUGCGUCCAAUUGGGUUUUGGGUAUCUCCAUGGAUGGAGAGUCCACAACUUCUCCAGGCAACCUGUAGCAGUGUUGGAUCACCCUCUCAGUAAAAAGGUUUGGUUUUCUUUUUAUGUUUGAACAGAAUUUCCUGUGUCUCAUGGGAGCUUGACCACUACCCGAAAUCCUUAAGAAACCCUCAGAAAAAAACCCCCAGAGCCUGUAAAACAUCUCAGACUGAGUUGAAGAAACAUCUUACUUCAUCUCAGAAGGACCAGAUUCACAGCCAAAGAACAGGUGAAGAUUACAGCCUCCUUCCCCACAUGAAUCUUUUCUGUCCUGCCUACAUAGCUGCAAGAGUCAACUUUUUAUUUUUCUUUGUCCAAGGACAUUGUAAAAUAAACUGGCAGAUAGGACAUGGAAAUUUCUGAUUGCUCCAAGCAUUUUAGGAGGCAUUAUUGCUGCAGCUGCAGCUAUCCUGCCUUAAAUGUUGCAUUUAAGUCUAUUCCAUAAAUUACCUUUUCACAGCAGAGGCUAAAAGAGAUGGCAUGGAGCUGAUUCUAAAUUUUCUCUUGAAUGCUUCUGACCAAAACACAGCCACAGUAGGAGGCACAUAAAAAUUUUUGAAUUUGAAUUCAUGUGUGAAUUUUCACCUGCCACACUCAGGAAAAGCCUCACCCUGAUGCUAAAAGCACUAAUCCUGCAGUAAUUUGCAUGCAAGGCCUCUCACAGAUUUUGUGUGAGUUUUGUGCGUGUUCAGUCUCACGUUGAUGCCCCAGCCAGCAGGAGAGGGUCCCUCUGCCCUUUGGCAGAUGGCACUGAAACCUCCCAGUCCCAUGGCAGGAGCCAGGAUCUUGGAGUCAACAGCAGGUCUUUCCUUUGGGACUACAGAGCCGGACUUCUCUGCUUUCACAAAUUUCACGGAGCUAAAACCAAAGCAAAUUAAUUCCCAGUUCUAAUCUGCUCCCUCACACAUCGGCACAGGGUUGGGUUUUACCCAGACACCCUUGGAGCUGGAAACCUUCAAGUGACCCAGUUACAAGGUGCUUUACAACCCCGUGCAGGGGCUGAGAGAAUGAACUCUCCCAGUUCAUCUGCAGCACAAAGGGAGGGAGGAAUCAUCUGCUACCUCAACUCAUGCAUGCCCCUGGCAGGAAUGGAUGAGCUUCAGGGCACACAAACCCUCCGUCUGAUUUUUUCCAAGCAAUUAAAACCACCAGACAGGGAGCAGAGCUUCCAUGGUAGGAGCAUUACUGGGAGAGUCCUCCUUCCCUCUUUACCAGCUGAGUGGGGCUGAUGAAGUGAAAGACCAGGCAUGGGAAAAAAGAACUCUCUUGUCUUGGAUAACAACAUGUCCUCAGAGGCAGAAGAGGGGGUGGGAUUGGUGGUUGGCAGCUGAUGGCUGCUGAGCAUCCUGUGAAAUGAUGAGGCCCUGCCACACGUUGCCCAGAAAAGCUGUGGAUUCCCCAUCCCUGGAAGUGUCCAAGGCCAGGCUGGACAGGGCUUGGAA